rnacentral:rRNA from 1 species
UACGUAGGGGGCAAGCGUUGCUCGGAAUCACUGGGCGUAAAGGGUGCGUAGGCGGGUCUUUAAGUCAGGGGUGAAAUCCUGGAGCUCAACUCUAGAACUGCCUUUGAUACUGAAGAUCUUGAGUUCGGGAGAGGUGAGUGGAACUGCGAGUGUAGAGGUGAAAUUCGUAGAUAUUCGCAAGAACACCAGUGGCGAAGGCGGCUCACUGGCCCGAUACUGACGCUGAGGCACGAAAGCGUGGGGAGCAAACAGG